GACGAACGCUGGCGGCGUGCUUAACACAUGCAAGUCGAACGGAAAGGCCCCUUUGGGGGUUCUCGAGUGGCGAACGGGUGAGUAACACGUGAGUAACCUGCCCUUGACUUCGGGAUAACUUCAGGAAACUGGGGCUAAUACCGGAUAGGAAUCCUUGCUGCAUGGUGGGGGUUGGAAAGCUUCGGCGGUUUUGGAUGGACUCGCGGCUUAUCAGCUUGUUGGUGGGGUAGUGGCUUACCAAGGCUUUGACGGGUAGCCGGCCUGAGAGGGCGACCGGCCACAUUGGGACUGAGAUACGGCCCAGACUCCUACGGGAGGCAGCAGUGGGGAAUAUUGCACAAUGGGCGGAAGCCUGAUGCAGCAACGCCGCGUGCGGGAUGACGGCCUUCGGGUUGUAAACCGCUUUCAGCAGGGGCGAAGCUUGUGGUGACGGUACCUGCAGAAGAAGCACCGGCUAACUACGUG
rnacentral:rRNA from 1 species